ACGUUUCAUCCUUUGUUUAAAUUUGAAUGUGUGUUUUUCAUAUGUGUAUACUAUUAUUUCAUUUAUUCCAAUCAGUCAAUCAGUCAACGGGAACCGUUCGGUAACUCGAUUUUUACCGACUGUAAAGUUUUAUGAAUAUUCAUUAAAUUGUAUCUGUUAAGUUAUCAAUGUCUACAUCUUUCUUUUUAGGGCAUAAACAAACGACUGUUUAUCUUGUUUUUAUGUCAUUUUUUAAGUUUGUUUUUCUAUUUAUACAAGAACGUAUAUCACUGGUUUAAUUUAUUUUUAAACAGCG
rnacentral:lncRNA from 1 species